AAUUUAUGGUGAGGGUAUAAUUUGAGUAUCCCCUUGAAUCUGUCUCAAGCUUCAUAUAAAGAUUCCCCCUUAUUCUAUUUGAAGCUUGCAAUGAGAUUUCUUAGGU